CCUUCAGACGAAAUCCUUGGGACAGGCAAAACCAGGGGCAGGACGUGAGAAACAGCCUCAGUUAUAGGCAACAGGGAAAAUGAUUAAUCUUGAACAAGGCAUUGACUGUGCAACUCCUCCACAAGAUAAAGAAUCAACAGGAAAGCCUAACGUGACUUUCCAGUAACUGCCAAGUGUCUGAGAUGCGACAGCCCUGGUUGAGGCUUUGAAAGACAGUGGGCUGUGCCCCUGCUCCAUGCAGCUGUCUGGACAGCUUCCAGUCUGAGAGCUCUGUGUUCAUUUCUACCUUUGCGCUGAUUUAAUUUACAACCUGGGGCAAAUCUCCUGAGCUCAUUUCCUUGCCUAUUAAAUACAAAGUGUCUGAGACAUCACCCAUGGAUUUGAGGAGGCUGUUGGGGAAACUACAGAGCAAACUUCUUUACUCUGCCUACAGCAAGCUCUGCAGGAUGGAUUUCAGUGUUCAGCCUCCCUGGAUAUCUGCCCUUAAAACAAAUCUGCACAACAGAGGCGGCAUCAGUCAGCACAAAGGGCUCAGAUCACAGCUGCCUUUGGGGAGAAUGACAAAACUGUUUAGGGUUCCUGGUUAAUACGUAUCCACUUUCUGUGCAUUCAGGGGAAGGGGAGUGUGGAGUGGAAGGAGAGUAGGCACAUGCAAGUCACUCUGAUGCUGUAAUUUAAAUUUACAGCUCCCUUGUGCAAAGCUGUUUACAGAAAGAUUGGGGUGGAACUCUCCACUCCUGCUUUCACAUCAUUUGAAGUUCAGACCAGUGAGACUUCCAUCAGUUGGGAGUUGAAGAUGCCACAAGGACAAGAACUGAGGAUGGUUUGCUCAGAGCUGAUUUUUAGACACCAUUUUCCAGGGAUCCCUGGUGAUAGAGGAGCAUUUUUUUGUGGUUGAGUUCUGAAUUUAAAAGUUUCCUACUAUA